rnacentral:lncRNA from 1 species
AGCCCCGGUUCCCGCCCGCGCCUCUCCCUCCACACUUCGCCGCAAGCAGAGGGAGCCGGCUCCGGCCUCAGCUGGCCCAGAGAGGGGCUCCCUCAGUGCAGUGGCGAGCUGAAGGGCUCCUCAAGGGCGGCUGGAGUGGACGCUGAGGCCGAGGAGACGCCAAGAGCAAACGAGGGCUGCUAGUACAUUGUCACCUCUCACUGGUAACUACAGUUGCUGUCAGUUUAACUGUUGAUAUUCUGGAAGCAAGAUCUUGGAAGGCCAAGGACAGGUCAUUUCUUAGGACUGUGCAAAAGAGAAUCAGUCUUUACAGUAAGCUAUUUGAUUCUAGUAGUUCUUUCAUCUCAGUCUUUUGAAAGCAACUUCCCCUCUUUAACCAACACCUGCCAUGGCCUCUUCAUGAGCCGAAGAAGGAAAGACAGGACAGAUUCUUAUGACCUGAAACAGCACCUCAACUCUUACCUUGGAUAUUUCUACAUGAAGAAUCUGCUCUGAAACUAUAGCAAACAAUCACAGAGUGUUUGAGUGUGAGUCCAGACUGGUUCGGGAAGACCAAGAAGCAAUGAUGAUGUCUGUUUUUGUCAAAUGUCUGAAAACUAUUUUUAUUUUUCUAAAACUUUGUUCAGAAGUCUCAAUAUUGUAGUGUAUAGAGAUGUACACUAAUUUAGUGAUAUGAAGAUGAAGGGCUUUAAGCCUGUG